rnacentral:rRNA from 1 species
GGACCCUUUGGGGUUAGUGGCGAACGGGUGAGUAACACGUGGGUGAUCUGCCCUGCACUUUGGGAUAAGCCUGGGAAACUGGGUCUAAUACCGGAUAGGACUACGCACUGCAUGGUGUGUGGUGGAAAGCUUUUGCGGUGUGGGAUGGGCCCGCGGCCUAUCAGCUUGUUGGUGGGGUGAUGGCCUACCAAGGCGACGACGGGUAGCCGGCCUGAGAGGGUGACCGGCCACACUGGGACUGAGAUACGGCCCAGACUCCUACGGGAGGCAGCAGUGGGGAAUAUUGCACAAUGGGCGCAAGCCUGAUGCAGCGACGCCGCGUGAGGGAUGACGGCCUUCGGGUUGUAAACCUCUUUCGCCAGGGACGAAGCGCAAGUGACGGUACCUGGAGAAGAAGGACCGGCCAACUACGUGCCAGCAGCCGCGGUAAUACGUAGGGUCCGAGCGUUGUCCGGAAUUACUGGGCGUAAAGAGCUCGUAGGUGGUUUGUCGCGUUGUUCGUGAAAACUCACAGCUUAACUGUGGGCGUGCGGGCGAUACGGGCAGACUGGAGUACUGCAGGGGAGACUGGAAUUCCUGGUGUAGCGGUGGAAUGCGCAGAUAUCAGGAGGAACACCGGUGGCGAAGGCGGGUCUCUGGGCAGUAACUGACGCUGAGGAGCGAAAGCGUGGGGAGCGAACAGGAUUAGAUACCCUGGUAGUCCACGCCGUAAACGGUGGGUACUAGGUGUGGGUUUCCUUCCUUGGGAUCCGUGCCGUAGCUAACGCAUUAAGUACCCCGCCUGGGGAGUACGGCCGCAAGGCUAAAACUCAAAGGAAUUGACGGGGGCCCGCACAAGCGGCGGAGCAUGUGGAUUAAUUCGAUGCAACGCGAAGAACCUUACCUGGGUUUGACAUGCACAGGACGCCGGCAGAGAUGUCGGUUCCCUUGUGGCCUGUGUGCAGGUGGUGCAUGGCUGUCGUCAGCUCGUGUCGUGAGAUGUUGGGUUAAGUCCCGCAACGAGCGCAACCCUUGUCUCAUGUUGCCAGCACGUUAUGGUGGGGACUCGUGAGAGACUGCCGGGGUCAACUCGGAGGAAGGUGGGGAUGACGUCAAGUCAUCAUGCCCCUUAUGUCCAGGGCUUCACACAUGCUACAAUGGCCGGUACAAAGGGCUGCGAUGCCGUGAGGUGGAGCGAAUCCUUUCAAAGCCGGUCUCAGUUCGGAUCGGGGUCUGCAACUCGACCCCGUGAAGUCGGAGUCGCUAGUAAUCGCAGAUCAGCAACGCUGCGGUGAAUACGUUCCCGGGCCUUGUACACACCGCCCGUCACGUCAUGAAAGUCGGUAACACCCGAAGCCGG